rnacentral:piRNA from 1 species
UGUCAGCAUGAACAUUUCACCUCUGA